rnacentral:lncRNA from 1 species
AGAAAGGACGAAUAGAGCCCAACAGCCACAUCUGGGGACAGCGGUGUGGUGUCCAUAAAAGGCCCACAGCUGGCACACAUGCUCUGGGAGACGGCAGGGAAUCACCUCUUUGCACAAAGCUGGAGGAAGAAAGGUAUAAGCAAAGAUAUGGUGGUUCCCUUCAUGCAAAAUACUGCAUUUCCCUGGGUCUUCUAGCAGGAGUCAUGAUCAACUGUGCUGUGCCAACACCACUAAAGACAGUUCUGCAUAUUCUCUGUGAAGUGCAGCAAGGAACGGCUGAACAGACUUCUGCUGGGGUAGGUGACAUGAUGGUGGCCACAGUCAGGAAAGGUGGACCAGAACUCAGAGAAGGAAACACAUCCAGCAGUGGUAAUUCAACAACAGAAGGCAUCCUGGAGAAAGAUGCUGAGUUCCUUUAUAUUAGCCAUCAUAGGAAGGUCACAGUGAACAGUAAGUCAAGAUGAAAGAUUCUGCCAUCAUAAGGCCAGCUCCAGAGGUGUGUGCAGACUUGUGGCCCAGGAUUUCGUUCAAGGCUGGCAGCAUCAUAUGAUUCUCCAGUGUUUUUGUUUAAAAAAUAGCCCCUUAAUUAUUUGCUCUUACUGCCAAAUAAAUAAGUAGUGAGGAUAUUCACAGCCAAUUGGUUUUUUUUUUUUUUAAAGAAAAUGCAUGCAAAAAGGGAUACCUGUCCUAGUGUGAUCUGUGGUGAGAGUUAGGGCAUUUGUUUGGCAGUGGGGUGUCUUAACUGACUUCUGGAUGCAGGAGGACUAAUCAACACUGGGCACUGCAUCUGUAAGAUCUAUUGACCAAGGCUCAAGAAAAGCUGAUGCUCCUCACGGCUGUAUAUGCUCCUGCAUUCUGCUCUCACUGGUUUGUUGAAUGCCUCCUGAGAUGCAGUUCGGAUUGUUCCCAAACCUGUUCCUAUCAUGCUAUUUUAAUUAUGCAAUUUAAUUAAGUAUUAUGUAAGUAGAUGAAAUGUGAGCUCAACCCGAUUGAAUGCCUUAGUCAAGCCUGAUAAAGGUAAGCUCUAAAAAAAUAUUGGGGCAGUACUAGGUGUGGACAAAGUUAUAUUGGUAACAUUACAAAAAUAAAAAGGAAUUCUGAACUUAGGUUGCUUUGUAAGUAUCUAUAAUGUUUUUACUUCACUCGAAAGACCUUAAAACUAGAAACCAAGGAUGAGGCACCCUGGACGUGUUUUAAACCUAGAUGAUUAGAAACUAGCCAAUUCAUCUUCAGUAGGAAGGCUGUGCUCCCAUCCAGCUCAUUGGAUGAAAUAACUUUUCACCAAACUUUCAAACAUCCAUAGCAGGAAACCAGUUAUUGUUUUUAUGGCACAGCCAAGGGAUUGGUAGGAGCUGCUUAGCUGUUGAGUUGAGCAGUAUUCUAAAGUUAAAUCUGAACUCAGUAAGCAGAAGUUCAAAGAAAUCAACAAUAUUUUCCAAGAGUGUGAAAGGGAAACAGUGAGAAAAAGACCACAUAUUCACCACUUGUGAUCCAGAAAAAGAUAAACACAAAUUAAAAAGCAGACAUUCUUGGAGUUUCCUGGUGGUGCAGCAGGUUCAGUUCCUGGCCCAUGAACUUCCACAUGCUGCAAGUGUGGCCAAAAAUUUUAAAAAAUUAAAACAAAAAAACAGACGUUUUUACUACUGGUUAUCUUCUUUUAACUCUUUGCCAUAUCUAAGCUCAAGUCUACUUUUAUUCAAAUGAAGUGGUGUGAGUCAUUCAAAAGAUACAAAUUUCAAUCCUAGAGCCACCUACUCAUGAUCAGAAUGAGAUACCCCCUGUCUUGUGGAGGAGUCAGAUCCCACAGAUGCUGCUGACCCACUCCACCACUCUCUGCUGCAGAAUGCCCUAUUCUCUCAUUUCCUCUCUAAAGCAAUGUCAACAAUUGUGACUACUAUGCUGGAUUUUUUUCAAAAAGCUCAUUCUAGCCAACUUACUACUUCAAUCAUCCACCUGCUUGAAGAAAUUAUAAAGUUCUUUUCAAAAAUGUUUUUCAGAAACAGACCCACAAACAGAGAACAGACAGGAUUGUCAAGAUGGGAGAAGAGGCAGGGGUGGGUAGGGAUGGACUGAGAGUUUGGGCUUAGCAGAUGCAAACUAUUAUAUACAGAAUGGAUAAACAACAAGAUCCUACAGUAUAGUGACAGGGAACCAUAUACAGCAUCUUGUGAUGAACCAUAACGGAAAAGAAUAGGAAAAGAAUGUAUGCAUGUUUGGGGAUAACUGAAUCAUUUUGCUGUAUAGCAGAAAUUAACACAACAUUGUAAAUCAAGUAUAUGUCAAUAAAAACGUCAAAAAUGU